rnacentral:rRNA from 1 species
UACAGAGGUCCCAAGCGUUGUUCGGAUUCAUUGGGCGUAAAGGGUGCGUAGGCGGCGCGGUAAGUCGGGUGUGAAAUCUCGGGGCUUAACUCCGAAACUGCAUUCGAUACUGCCGUGCUUGAGGACUGGAGAGGAGACUGGAAUUUACGGUGUAGCGGUGAAAUGCGUAGAUAUCGAUAAGGAAGACCAGUGGCGGAAGGCGGGUCUCUGGACAGUUCCUGACGCUGAGGCAGCGAAGGAUCAGGGGGAGCAAAACGGG